CUAGUUGACUUUAAUAGAAGUAAUCGUGUUUUAGAGUGUCGAGAGGGAGGAGGACAAAAGGAGAUUAGAGAUAGAAUUUAUAUGCGUAAAUGGGAUUAUACUGAUGCUAGUAAAAGUCGUGCCAGCAGCUGCGGUUAUACGAUUAGAGGGGUUAUGGGGUUAGUUUUAAGUUUCAGAUCUGUAAUAAGAGGUGAAAUUCGUAAUUUGAGGAGAGGAACGGUGUGGGAUUAGUACGAAACAGAUUAGAUACCUGUGUAGGGAUUAUAGUUAACAUAGGAGGAAUAUUUUAAUGGUGUGGCGGUGUGCCUGAGAGAUAGGGGGACUUGGGCAGGAUAGUUAACCUAAUGAUGUGAUAUAGUGUCCUUUGUAUGAUUGUUUGAGCUGGGUUACACAGCUUCAAUCAAAUUUUAUAGGGGAGGUUAGAGUGUUCUGAGUUUUUUAUGUAAUUAGCAUAAAGGAUUUAUGAGUAAUUGAGGGGAUAUGAACCUAUCAGGCGCGAGUACAUAUCGCCCGUCAACACCCCUAGGGUGUAAGUCGUAACACAGUGACUUUAUUAGAAAGUGAAGUUAUCAAGGC
rnacentral:rRNA from 1 species